rnacentral:lncRNA from 1 species
UUCUUUCCUUCGCCUGUGCUGAUAAAUUUCUUUCUGAAAGCAGCCAGAGGUUUUAAUGGGUGUUUUCAUAGAGAGAGUUCCUGACCCCUCCUGGCUCAACACUAGGGAGCUUUAAGCAGAACGGAAAAUGAAUACAAACCGGAAUAUGUUGGGAAGAUACAGUAGAGAAGACUUGUGUGGAUCCCUGAGCCAGUACAAAUGCCUGCUUAAUUAGAAAAUCAAUCUUGGCUGUCCGGGUGACAGAUAGGAAUCCUCUGUUGGAGAUGAGAAAGAGAGUCCAGUCAUGGUUUGAAAAUAAGUCCUUAAAGCCAAACCUAAAGAAGACAGCAGCCUUUAUUCAACUACACCCAUCAAGGGGAAAUGGAGAUAUAGAAAAUGUCUGGUUCUCAAAGGAUCCGUGUGUUGUAUAGGGAACUCUUCUCCAGGACACAUCUUCUGUCCGAGGUCUAAAGGAAUGCAUCCAAAGUUGUGGAGAGAGCUUUCUGUGCAAAGUGGCAGGUGCAGAGUGGAGCCCGCUAAGAGAAGGAUGUGUGCUGCAGGCCGGAGGGAAAGAACAGUGCAGAAGCCAGUCAGAAUUGUGGGGUUUGCUGUUUGCCCUCCUGAGUUGUGGGCUCCAUAGUUAUGAUAUUGCCAUGAGUUUCAGAGGAGCUGGAACAAGGAAAGUACAGGAUAGCCAAAAGAACUUACUAUCUCAAAGUAGAAGGAAGAAGUCAAAGAAUAAAGGAACUCCGAAGACAAAGAGUGGACCCAGAGAAGUAUGAAGACCUUGAUCUUCACAAUAAUAAUUACUACAGAAUGAUAAAUCAUUGAAUAAAUACUACAAACACACGACUAUGUCAGAUGUGGGAAUUAGAUGCUAGUUCAUAAAGAUGGAAGGAAUAAUUCAUUAGAUAAAUCAGUCAUCGGCAGCAAUGGUGGUAAUAAUUAAACUGAGAAAUAUCUAUGGAUGAAAAUUAAGUGGGUGAAGAUCUGAAAUGAUAUUUACAUAAUGUGAGAGAAGUAGUUCUCAUAACAUAUUUGUGUGUUAAGAAGAAAACAAGCUUAGCAUUUGGAAAGGUCUGGCAGGCAGUAUCUUAGCCCAAUUACAGACUUAACUCCAAGGAAACACAACAAAAAGCAGCUGCCAGGGCUGGGAAGAUGCACAAAACCUCCUAGAAAAGGUGGGCGUUCAAUCCCAUAGCAAUGUAAAACCAAGUAGGCUCAAUUUGGGGACAGAGUGCAGAUAACUGGCCCUAUGUUUUCAAAAUAUCAAGGUCAAGAUGGUUGAAAACGACCAGAGAAAGCAUUUCAGGAUACUAUGACAUUGUUGGCCAACCUUGCAUCUUCUGUGAAGUGGUUGCUGCAGCCUGGAUGGAGGCUGAGGGUAAGGGAUGAUGAUGUGUCAAUGUUAAUUUUCUGGUUUUGAUAGGUUUAUUAUGGCUGUGCUAAAUGACAUUCCUGUUUGAAGGAAAUUCACACUAAACUGUCAGAAGAGCUGUUAAGACAGCACAUAUAUAAAUUACUCGGAGAUUGUUAGGAAUCUAUAUCACACUUGCAAUUUUUCUCUAAGUUUGAAUUUUCUAACUGACAAUUAUUUAAGUACUGGUGGCAUAGUUAAGUGGUUACUUCAGAGGACUCGAUAUUAGAUCUAUGUUAGAUGCCUCAUAGCCAUUCAUAACUUUAGUUUCAGGAGAUCUAAUGCCCAUGGGUACCUGCAU